UAGGGAAUAUUGGUCAAUGGGUGAGAGCCUGAACCAGCCAUGCCGCGUGCAGGAUGACGGCCUUCUGGGUUGUAAACUGCUUUUUUCAGGGAAGAAAAAGCCCUUGCGAGGGAAAUUGCCGGUACCUGAUGAAUAAGCACCGGCUAACUCCGUGCCAGCAGCCGCGGUAAUACGGAGGGUGCGAGCGUUGUCCGGAUUUAUUGGGUUUAAAGGGUGCGUAGGCGGGCCUUUAAGUCAGUGGUGAAAGCCCAUCGCUUAACGAUGGAAUUGCCAUUGAUACUGGGGGUCUUGAGUUCAGUUGAGGUAAGCGGAAUUUAUGGUGUAGCGGUGAAAUGCAUAGAUACCAUAAAGAACACCGAUUGCGAAGGCAGCUUACUGGGCUUGAACUGACGCUGAGGCACGAAAGCGUGGGGAUCGAACAGGAUUAGAUACCCCUGUAGUCC
rnacentral:rRNA from 1 species